rfam:Spinacia oleracea cultivar SynViroflay scaffold7821.con0003.1, whole genome shotgun sequence.
AGGAGCCGUAUGAGAUGAAAAUUUCACGUACGGUUCUGGAACGGAGAUUCUUUGAAGGAGAGGUUAAUCGUAC